UGGGAUGGGUCAAGUGUGGCUGCUCAGAGCCUAGCUAUGUCCUUCAACUACAGCAGAGAGAAGGACCUGGGAAGCCCAGGUCACUAGCCAAUCCAAAGAGGGGUGGGGCUGAAGGUUGGGACAAGGGCAUUAUGACAAGAGCAAGUUGAAAAGGAGAAGCCAGCAGAAAGAGAGACUCGAGUGGGGAGUGCGAUUCCCCUGGAGAGAGGAAACCUCCCCUCCAGCUUUGGGUGUGUGGUGUCAAUGAACUCUGGCACUUGGCUUCCAGGGUCAGAACGAGGAAGUGCCUUAAAGGUGGUGCAUGCACUCCACCAUCAGUACCUCUGACAUCAGCACCCCUGACAUCACACUCACCUGGCGUAGAGGAUGCCCAGAGACAAGGAUGCAUCUCAUCUAGUGUGUGCUCCAUCCUUCCCAGGUACAACCACGGAAAGCCAUGGCUCGCUGGGUGCAAGAGAAAAAACCUUUUUACCUUGUUUAGAUCAGUGUCUUCAGAGAGGCUUUCCAUACUCACGUAAUGUAAGUA
rnacentral:lncRNA from 1 species